GAAUAGAAGAGAAGGUGUUUGGUAGAAUUGCGUUCCUCACUCGACACCUUCAUCACAUCAAAAACUUCUUUUGCCUCUGUCAGCAUAUUGCUGGACGCACUUCGCAAAGAGGCUAUGCUGACUGAGGCAAAAGAAGUUUUUGAUCUGAUCGUUAUGACCGUAACUUUGGAUAUACGUUUCAACGCCCGAUUUCGCGUGCUGUUGGCUUUGGCGAUGGCUAUAGCCGCUCCUUUCUACAUUGAAUCUACGUCUCAACAGUCAAGUUGGAGCUUUCUUUGAGAAACUCAGAGCUUUAGGAGCUCUGGCCCUUGUUGCUUUCUCUUUACUGAAAAGGCAAAUGGGCGGCACUGAAGCCCGAUCCAGAAUCAAGUAACAGCUGCAGCCACAAGAUAACAAGGAGAUGAAGAUAUGUAGCAUGUAUCAACUAUCAGCCAGUCUUGUGACUCUUGUGAAAGCUAUACAUACUGGCGAUUAUUGGAACUCUUCCUGUAUAUACUCAUGAACUUGGCCACAAAUUCUGCACCAAAGAUACAGAAAUAACCAGUGAACUGCCUGUAUACUGACCUCUCCUUCCCUUAAAAAGAAAAACCUACCUCGCUGGUGAUGGAUCAACUAUGAUAUCUGCAGAAAGUUCCACUAGGACCUCUUCCCAUCCAAAUGGAAUUGGUUGGUCAUCGACAAAAGGGUAGCUGCACACAGUGACAGUGUCCUCAUAACAAUCUUAGCAGCAAAGCUCAUGGGUAGAUCAAAGUUCUCCUUUCUUGCUAUCUGAAGAAGAACCUCCAUGAUCUGGGAUAUUGGAGGUUUCAACGAGGAUUAAGAUAAAGUCAGAAGUGUGGAAGAUGGGAGCAUACUAGUGUAAAACGCCUAUUAGUACACAGUUAUAAUCCAAAAUGAAUCUGAAACUUACUUCAUGAGUAACAGGAGCAUCAACCUUGAUAACUUUGCAGCGGUUUUUCACACAUUCAAGGAUUUCUACAUCAUCUUCACAGCAGAGUAU